rnacentral:rRNA from 1 species
GAAGGCAGCAGUGGGGAAUAUUGCACAAUGGGCGCAAGCCUGAUGCAGCUAUGUCGCGUGUAUGAAGAAGACCUUAGGGUUGUAAAGUACUUUCAAUAGCAUAAGAAGGUAAUGAAACUAAUAAUUUUGUUAUCAGACGUUAGCUAUAAAAGAAGCACCGGCUAACUCCGUGCCAGCAGCCGCGGUAAUACGGAGGGUGCUAGCGUUAAUCGGAAUUACUGGGCGUAAAGAGCACUUAGGUGGUUUAUUAAGUCAAGUGUGAAAUCCCUAGACUUAAUCUAGGAACUGCAUUUGAAACUAAUAGACUAGAGUUUCGUAGAGGGAGGUAGAAUUCUAGGUGUAGCGGUGAAAUGCAUAGAUAUCUAGAGGAAUAUCAGUGGCGAAGGCGACCUCCUGGACGAUAACUGACGCUAAAAUGCGAAAGCAUGGGUAGCAAACAGGAUUAGAUACCCUGGUAGUCCAUGCUGUAAACGAUGUCGACUAAGAAGUUGAAAGCUUUGACUUAUAAUUUCUGUAGCUAACGCGUUAAGUCGACCGCCUGGGGAGUACGGCCGCAAGGCUAAAACUCAAAUGAAUUGACGGGGGCCUGCACAAGCGGUGGAGCAUGUGGUUUAAUUCGAUGCAACGCGUAAAACCUUACCUGGUCUUGACAUCCACAGAAUUUUAUAGAAAUAUAAAAGUGCAAUUUGAACUGUGAGACAGGUGCUGCAUGGCUGUCGUCAGCUCGUGUUGUGAAAUGUUGGGUUAAGUCCCGCAACGAGCGCAACCCUUGUUUUUUGUUACCAUCAGAUAAAGCUGGGGACUCAAAAGAAACUGCCAGUUAUAAACUGGAGGAAGGUGGGGACGACGUCAAGUCAUCAUGGCCCUUACGACCAGGGCUACACACGUGCUACAAUGGCGUAUACAAAGAGAUGCAAUAUUGUAAAAUAAAGCUAAUCUAUAAAAUACGUCUUAGUUCGGACUGGAGUCUGCAACUCGACUCCACGAAGUCGGAAUCGCUAGUAAUCGUGGAUCAGCAUGCCACGGUGAAUAUGUUUCCAGGCCUUGUACACACCGCCCGUCACACCAUGGAAGUGGGUUGCAAAAGAAGUAGAUUAAUUUAACCUUCUUAACAAGAAAAUAGUUUACCACUUUGUGAUUCAUGACUGGGUGAGA